rnacentral:rRNA from 1 species
CAGCAGCCACGGUAAUACGAAGGGGGCUAGCGUUGUUCGGAUUUACUGGGCGUAAAGCGCACGUAGGCGGAUCGAUCAGUCAGGGGUGAAAUCCCAGAGCUCAACUCUGGAACUGCCUUUGAUACUGUCGAUCUGGAGUAUGGAAGAGGUGAGUGGAAUUCCGAGUGUAGAGGUGAAAUUCGUAGAUAUUCGGAGGAACACCAGUGGCGAAGGCGGCUCACUGGUCCAUUACUGACGCUGAGGUGCGAAAGCGUGGGGAGCAAACAGGAUUAGAUACCCCGGUAGUCCCUGUCUCUUAUAA